GGGAGCUUGCUCCUUGAUUCAGCGGCGGACGGGUGAGUAAUGCCUAGGAAUCUGCCUGGUAGUGGGGGACAACGUUUCGAAAGGAACGCUAAUACCGCAUACGUCCUACGGGAGAAAGCAGGGGACCUUCGGGCCUUGCGCUAUCAGAUGAGCCUAGGUCGGAUUAGCUAGUUGGUGGGGUAAUGGCUCACCAAGGCGACGAUCCGUAACUGGUCUGAGAGGAUGAUCAGUCACACUGGAACUGAGACACGGUCCAGACUCCUACGGGAGGCAGCAGUGGGGAAUAUUGGACAAUGGGCGAAAGCCUGAUCCAGCCAUGCCGCGUGUGUGAAGAAGGUCUUCGGAUUGUAAAGCACUUUAAGUUGGGAGGAAGGGCAGUAAGCUAAUACCUUGCUGUUUUGACGUUACCGACAGAAUAAGCACCGGCUAACUCUGUGCCAGCAGCCGCGGUAAUACAGAGGGUGCAAGCGUUAAUCGGAAUUACUGGGCGUAAAGCGCGCGUAGGU
rnacentral:rRNA from 1 species